UUCUGAUAUAAAAUAAUAAUUUUAUUAUUGGAAAUAGUAAUAAUAAUCUUUUAUUAUCUGUUUCAGAGAUAUGUAGCCUCACUUGUCUGGCAUCUUAUCCAAGAAGACUUCCUUUUCUCUGGUUCCCUGUGGAGUGCAUAUUAAGCCAUUGGAGAGAGAAGAGUGGACAAAUGUGGCAGGACAGAGGCAUGAGAGAGAAGCAGAGGAAGCCCAUUCUAAUUCUAUACAUUCAUCAACCUUAUGCAUUAUUCAUAAAAACGACUGGACAACUGAGGAUCACCAGACAUUGGAUAAACACAAACAGUGUGAAAGAGAAGAACCAAGUGAACUAGAAGAAUGAUUGGAAACAGAGAUAAUUCAGAGAACAGAAGAAAACAUUAAAUCCAUCCUAAUUAGCAUCCUCUGGCUUCCCAGGUAGCUCAGUGGUAAAGAAUCUGCCUGCAGUGCAGGAGAUGAGGGUUUGAUUCUUGGACUGGGAAGAUCACCUGGAAAAGGAAAUGGCAGCCUACUCCAGUAUUCUUGCCUCGGAAAUCCCAUGGACAGAGGAGCCUGGUGGGCUACAGUCCAUGGGGUUGCAAAAAAGUCAGACAUGACUUAGCAACUAAAUAACAACAAUUUGUAUCCUCAUGAAAUUCUCAUAACUAUUGAUUCAUAAAAAUAGAAUACAUUGUAUGAAAAAGGAGCAAUCAGAAAAUGAAGAAUUCUUGAAAAUUAAAAUUUCAUUACUGAAAUUUAAAAAUUAACAGAGGGCUAAAUAAUAGAAAGGACUGAGUUGAAUAUGUUACUAACCUGGAAAGUAAAGUUGAGGCAAUGUCUUAGAACCUAAAGGGCAUUAGAGACAAACAUAUUGUAAGAACUGAGUUUAGGCGCUAAGAUCAAUAUCUAAGUUCCAACAUCCACCUAAUUGUUGUUUUUUUGGUUAAAGUCAGAAAGAAAUGAAGAAAUAAUAGAAAUCAUAGAAAAAAAUUUUCCCCAGUGUAAGUCACAAGCAUCAUAUUGAAAGAGUCUAAUGAGCGGUAAAGAAAUUGAAUGGAAAAAGGCCCAUAAAUCAUAUUCAAAUGAAAUGUCUGAGCUAAGAUAUUUCAAGAGUAAGAAAUUUGUUAAUAAAACAUACAAAUUAG
ensembl:lncRNA